AAACAGACCCUACAGACGGGGCCAGAGGAGGGGGUGGGGGUUUGCCAUUGGUUGACAGAGGCUGUGAAGCCAGUUUCUCCUCCCGGUAAAGAUGACGUCGUAAAUCAGACUAUCUCUGCUGCUCAGCUGGCUUUACCAUAGCUCAGUAUCAACUAGCCAGUAGUGACCCACUACCUGCCCAGACUGGUCCUGCCUUGCCAAACGGCUCUGAGGCUGACAACUGCUAAAUGACUCACAGACAGGGAUGAGAUGAAGUAGGCCUACAGAGGAAAAAAGGAGCAAUAAGCCUACGCACUGUGAAUUUCUAAAAGAAGAAAAGGAGGAAUAAGCACUGCUGUGCCUUUAUAACUAGAGGAGGAGGGAGAGGAAUAAUGUCUUAGAGGAGGAGGAGUUGUUUGGACAGAACUGAUCGGCCUACAGGGCCACUAUAGACAGGACUAGCCCGAAUCUAGCCUACUGUUGCACGGAAUACCGACCGCCACGGUCGGACCAGGCGGUCUGUUUCUGUCGGAAGCCGCUGGGGAGCUUAUUCAAGAUGCAAACAUCUGCUCUGGACAACCGUUAAACAGUGAAUGCGAGAUUACCACUGCAGCACCCGAGAACGGCCUGUCUGCGUGAGUGUGCGCGCGUGCAAGAGAGUGUAUGUGCGCGCGUGAGUGCGUGUUUGUGUGUGUCACUAUGAGUCUUGUCUCAGGCUUCCCUCACCACCCGGUCAUGCACCACCACGACAGCCACCACUAUUCCUUGCAUGCGGCGGCGGCCGGUCGGUGUCACGAGGACACCGGGGCUCCUCCGUACUUUACUGGCUGGCUAAUAAACCACGCGGAUAUGUCUCCCACAGAGUAUAGCCUCGCACCCGGUUACAGCCCAGAGUACCAUGGCAACAGCGGCGGCGGGUCUACCGGCGGCCUGGACCCCCACCAUCACCAUCACUACGUACCCGGCGGGUUAGUUCCGGGGGCCGGCACCAUCUCGGUGAACGGAGCCACGGUCGGUAUGCAUCACCAUCACCACCACACACAUCCUCGGACCGUGAAGCGGAGACCCACAGCCAACCGUAAGGAGAGGCGGCGGACCCAGAGCAUCAACUCGGCCUUUGCGGAGUUAAGGGAGUGUAUCCCCAACGUCCCAGCCGACACCAAGCUGUCCAAGAUCAAGACGCUGCGGCUGGCCACCAGUUACAUCUCCUACCUAAUGGACAUCCUGGACAAGGACGGACAGCACGGAGACACGCAGGCUUUCAAGGCCGAACUGAAAAAGACGGAAGCUCGGGAAGAGCGGAGGAAGAGAGAGUCGGUGGAGAUCCCUAAGACAACUUCAUCAUCAUCAUCAUCCUCAUCGUCAUCCUCCUCGUCUGUGGGCGAUAAGAAGAGCAAAGGACGGACAGGAUGGCCUCAACAUGUCUGGGCUCUGGAACUCAAACAGUAACGCCUCCCUCUGUCCUGCAAGUUGAUAGCACUCUUUUCCUCCUCCAGCUCUGUCCUCGAAGAGCGUGACGGGACAAUAAUGACGCGCUCUGUUGAACUGUAAAGACAGUCAUCAUCAUCUCUCUGGACCUCGAGGGUGUUAACUUCCCACAGGACGGUGGACGCUGUAUUGCUUGUGUAGCUCCGUUCACUUUGCUAUGGUAUUCAUUCCAUCUAAAUAUAACUGUUUUGGACCUGGUUGUGGCUGAGGCGGUGGGGCUGGUGCAGAGGGAGUAGAUGGCUCAUAAUCUUCAUCAUCAUCGUCAUCAUCAUCAUCACCACUGUGGAACCAUAUGUGGAAGAAAAACAAAUAUAUUCAUUCACUGGCCUGUUUUGAAAAUGAAACUACAAAAACACAAGUAACAAUAUGUUGUGGUAAACAAGCCCUGUACUGGGGAAGUCAACAAACAAUCCAGUUUGAGUGUGUGCAUUUAGGCUACUAAAAUCAUUGCAGGAUAAUAAGGUAGAUAGAUCGGCAAUUUGACACCAAAUCAAUAAGUAAUCGAUAACAAAACAGAGAUUACAUACCUUUCUGGUGAUGGCACUUGAUAAUCUGAAUCACCUACUGUCACUACUGAAACACUGACUGAUACUGAACAGUGUGGAUGUUUAUUUAGCUAUUUAUUUUAUUUCAUUUAUUCUUUAUUCAAAUGGUCAGCAAUUGACUGGUACUGUUCAUUUCUAGAAUUGGUUGACAAUGUAUAUUUAAUAUGUUAAAGAAUAUUUAACUUAAAUGUUCUUUAAUAAAGUUAUUUGUUUAAGAAAGAAGCCUUCUGGGUACCUUUGCAUAGGUAUAUUAGUGCAAAAUCAGUGCACAAUCAACACAGAAAAGGUUUAUUUUCAUUCCAGCUCAAAUCACACAGGCGGUUUGAUCCUGGCUUCCCCCAGCCCACAUGUCAAAGUGUCCUUGGGCAAGACACUGAACCCCAAGUUGCUCCCGAGGGCUGUGCAUUCGGUGUGAAUGUUAAUUACUUAGUUACUUUGAUGAUCAGUUCUGCCAUCACUGUGUGAAUGAGAUAUGUAGUCAGAAAGGCAUUCAUUUACCAUGAUUUGAGCUGUAUCUGUAAUCGGUAAAUGUUUCAAUCUCAAAAAUCCCAUAUAGGUUGGGCUCUAAUAAUCAAUUAAUCGUUUAGUCAUUUAUCAAGCAAACAUGCUGAACAUUCACUGGUUCCAGCUUCUCAAAUGAAAGCAUUUGUAAGUAAGCAAGCACAUCUUUUAAUAUCAUUGUUAACUGAAUCUCUUAGAGUUUUGAACAAUUGGCAAAACAAAACAGGUCAUGUAAAGAUGUUAUUGUGUGCUCUUGGAAAAUCUGAUUGGCAUUUUUCACUAUUUUCUGACAUGUUUUACUAAACGAUUAAUUGAUUCAUUGUAAAAAUAAUUGACAGAGCAAUCGAUAAUGAAAAUAAUUGUUUGUUGCAGCCGUAAUUCAGGGCCAACUUGAUACAAUAAGGGCAAAAAUACUAGUAUCUAUGCAUGUUAUUGUUUUUAUUGUUUUCAGUUUAAAGUCUUGCUAAGCUUCUGAUGUAUCUUGGUCAUAUGAAACAACAACAUUAGAAAGACAUAUCAUCACUCUAUGUACGAUCAACGAUCAAGAGCUAGCAAUACAAGCUAACCUGUAACAUUAUUGAACUUAAGUCAUGCGAUAUUUACCUUACAGUACCAAAUUCUUCCAGCUCCAUAUUUACAAAAUCUAUUUCUGUUUUUAUCUUACUAAACAAAGUAUUGCACAGUUCUUAGUUCCAUUUUGUUUUCUGUUGUCCUUUUACUAUUUUCUACAUCAUUCAGACAGCACAUUGAACAAAUUAGCUUUUCUUCUUGACAUACAUACAGUUUAAGUGAUAAAAUGUCAGAUCUCAUCUUCAUAUGUUAUCAUCCUAAAUGUAAGCAGUUUUUGGUUCAGUGCAUAUAUCAGCCCACUGUUCUUUACUCUCAGCUAACACAGAUUCUCUUAAUAGAUGAAUGUUCUUUUCAUUAUUAAAAAUGCCUCAGAAAACAGGGAGUUGUACAACAGUGUGCACAUGUAUUUUAACCAAAAGCCAAUCAUUUGUUUACUCUAAAAAAAUACAUUUCUUGUCAGCCUGCUUUCUUCCUUAUCAAGUUAUUGAUUCCAUAACAUAACAUAUCUUCCGUCAAUCCACAAAGUAUUAUAGUGUUAUUUAUUUCUGUACAUUUCUAGCUAAGUGCUGUGACAAUGCUAAUGCCCUGAAAAAUAAUGUUUAAAGAAACACUAUACAGCUUGAUUAACAAACGAUGACCAAUUUCUCCUUCCAAACAAUAGACAGGAUGGGUGAUCCUGUCAUCCAUCCUACAAUUAUCAGUACUGCUCUCUAACUGUCCUGUGGUCUAAAUGAGACCUCUGAUUUGAAAUAAAUAUAUAGUUAAGUCAUAUAUUCAGUCUCACAAAUAUUUUGCAAGCUGUAUUUUUAAUAAAAUGAAUACAAAAGAUCAUCCGGCACUACUACUAAGUAUAUAGAACUGACCAACCAAUUUUGAAAAAUCAGCUGAUUUUACAAACCUAAAACAUAACAGUGUGAUGACUUUGUGGGAUCAUUGUGUUUCUGCUGCAUGGAUAGUUUUCAGUGCAAAUCAGAUGAAUACAAUCUGAGAGUAUUUACAAAAUCAUUUGUUUACCCUAAAUAAAUACAUUUCUUGUCAGCCUG